UACAGAGGGUGCAAGCGUUAAUCGGAAUUACUGAGCGUAAAGCGUGCGUAGUCGGUUAUUUAAGUCGGGCGUGAAAGCCCCGGGCUCAACCUGGGAAUUGCGUUCGAUACUGGAUAGCUAGAGUUCGGCAGAGGGAAGCGGAAUUUCGGGUGUAGCGGUGAAAUGCGUAGAUAUCCGAAGGAACAUCAGUGGCGAAAGCGGCUUCCUGGACCAGAACUGACGAUCAGGCACGAAAGCGUGGGGAGCAAACAGG
rnacentral:rRNA from 1 species